rnacentral:rRNA from 1 species
UACGGAGGGGGCUAGCGUUGUUCGGAAUUACUGGGCGUAAAGCGCACGUAGGCGGCUUUGUAAGUUAGAGGUGAAAGCCCGGAGCUCAACUCCGGAAUUGCCUUUAAGACUGCAUCGCUUGAAUCAUGGAGAGGUUAGUGGAAUUCCGAGUGUAGAGGUGAAAUUCGUAGAUAUUCGGAAGAACACCAGUGGCGAAGGCGACUAACUGGACAUGUAUUGACGCUGAGGUACGGAAAGC